rnacentral:lncRNA from 1 species
CCCACACAUGGUGUUAAACGACAAAACAUUCUUGCAUUUUUAAUAUAUAAUCCAUGUCUUCAUCUGUUGGGGUGGCAAUAUAGAUCUCAAAGUUUGUUCGUACAGUGCCAAAAGAUGAGUGGAAUGACAUCAACUUCACUGAUUUAUAUCUUCUAUAUUUCAAAUGAAAGUGGUCAUGUGGACAAAGCCCCUAGCCAACUUCAUGAAAAAGAGAAUGGAUCUAUGCCGACACUGAAAUAAUCAUAAUGGUAUGGAUCAGUAAUCCUAUAAUUAUGAUACAACACGUGUUUUUGAGAUCAAUAUAAUGCAAGAGGGAACGCCAUAUUAACUUUUCAUGAACUGGCAGGCAUGCCACAAUUUUGGAGCAAUGGUGCAGACACCAACCUGAUGCUGAAGACUAUGGGAGCGAUGCCGCUCCACUAUCUGAAGGGAAAUUUCUGAGGGAGCAUGGGAAGUUGCCGAGAGGCAGCGACCUCGUCGCCUCUGGGCAGCAGGGAGGUGGUGGAGGUCGUCCUCAAGGAGACAGAGUCGUGGAGGU